GGAGGAGUUCCCGAGUGGCCAAAGGGGGCGGACUGUAAAUCCGUUAGCAUAGCUUUCGAUGGUUCGAAUCCAUCCUCCUCCACCA
rnacentral:tRNA from 1 species